UUUGACCUCAAAUCAGGUAGGACUACCCGCUGAACUUAAGCAUAUCAAU
rnacentral:rRNA from 4 species